GACGAACGCUGGCGGCGUGCUUAACACAUGCGAGUCGAACGGAAAGGCCCUGCUUUUGUGGGGUGCUCGAGUGGCGAACGGGUGAGUAACACGUGAGUAACCUGCCCUUGACUUUGGGAUAACUUCAGGAAACUGGGGCUAAUACCGGAUAGGAGCUCCUGCUGCAUGGUGGGGGUUGGAAAGUUUCGGCGGUUGGGGAUGGACUCGCGGCUUAUCAGCUUGUUGGUGGGGUAGUGGCUUACCAAGGCUUUGACGGGUAGCCGGCCUGGGAGGGUGACCGGCCACAUUGGGACUGAGAUACGGCCCAGACUCCUACGGUAGGCAGCAGUGGGGAAUAUUGCACAAUGGGCGGAAGCCUGAUGCAGCAACGCCGCGUGCGUGAUGACGGCCUUCGGGUUGUAAACCGCUUUCGCCUGUGACGAAGCGUGAGUGACGGUAAUGGGUAAAGAAGCACCGGCUAACUACGUG
rnacentral:rRNA from 1 species